UACGUAGGGGGCAAGCGUUGUCCGGAUUUAUUGGGCGUAAAGAGCGUGUAGGCGGCCAUGCAGGUCCGCUGUGAAAACUCGAGGCUCAACCUCGAGACGUCGGUGGAAACCGCAUGGCUAGAGUCCGGAAGAGGAGAGUGGAAUUCCCGGUGUAGCGGUGAAAUGCGCAGAUAUCAGGAAGAACACCCGUGGCUAAGGCGGCUCUCUAGUACGGUACUGACGCUGAGACGCGAAAGCGUGGGGAGCGAACAGG
rnacentral:rRNA from 1 species